AGCGAACGCUGGCGGCAGGCCUAACACAUGCAAGUCGAACGAACUCUUCGGAGUUAGUGGCGGACGGGUGAGUAACACGUGGGAACGUGCCUUUUGGUUUGGAAUAAUUCAGGGAAAUUUGUGCUAAUACAGAAUGUGCCCUUCGGGGGAAAGAUUUGUCGCCAUUAGAGCGGCCCGCGUCUGAUUAGCCAGUUGGUGAGGUAACGGCUCACCAAGGCGACGAUCAGUAGCUGGUCUGAGAGGAUGACCAGCCACACUGGGACUGAGACACGGCCCAGACUCCUACGGGAGGCAGCAGUGGUGAAUCUUGCGCAAUGGGCGAAAGCCUGACGCAGCCAUGCCGCGUGAAUGAUGAAGGUCUUAGGAUUGUAAAAUUCUUUCACCGGGGACGAUAAUGACGGUACCCGGAGAAGAAGCCCCGGCUAACUUCGUG
rnacentral:rRNA from 1 species